rnacentral:rRNA from 1 species
AUUGAACGCUGGCGGCAGGCCUAACACAUGCAAGUCGAGCGGAUGACGGGAGCUUGCUCCUUGAUUCAGCGGCGGACGGGUGAGUAAUGCCUAGGAAUCUGCCUGGUAGUGGGGGACAACGUUUCGAAAGGAACGCUAAUACCGCAUACGUCCUACGGGAGAAAGCAGGGGACCUUCGGGCCUUGCGCUAUCAGCUGAGCCUAGGUCGGAUUAGCUUGUUGGUGAGGUAAUGGCUCACCAAGGCGACGAUCCGUAACUGGUCUGAGAGGAUGAUCAGUCACACUGGAACUGAGACACGGUCCAGACUCCUACGGGAGGCAGCAGUGGGGAAUAUUGGACAAUGGGCGAAAGCCUGAUCCAGCCAUGCCGCGUGUGUGAAGAAGGUCUUCGGAUUGUAAAGCACUUUAAGUUGGGAGGAAGGGUUGUAGAUUAAUACUCUGCAAUUUUGACGUUACCGACAGAAUAAGCACCGGCUAACUCUGUGCCAGCAGCCGCCGUAAGAC